AUUGAACGCUGGCGGCAUGCCUAACACAUGCAAGUCGAACGGCAGCACGGCAGUAGCAANACUGUGGGUGGCGAGUGGCGGACGGGUGAGGAAUACGUCGGAAUCUGCCCAGUCGUGGGGGAUAACUAGCCGAAAGGUUAGCUAAUACCGCAUACGACCGAGAGGUGAAAGCGGGGGACCGCAAGGCCUCGCGCGAUUGGAUGAGCCGACGUCGGAUUAGCUAGUUGGUGGGGUAAAGGCCCACCAAGGCGACGAUCCGUAGCUGGUCUGAGAGGAUGAUCAGCCACACUGGAACUGAGACACGGUCCAGACUCCUACGGGAGGCAGCAGUGGGGAAUAUUGGACAAUGGGCGCAAGCCUGAUCCAGCAAUGCCGCGUGUGUGAAGAAGGCCUGCGGGUUGUAAAGGCACUUUCAGUGGGAAGAACAGAUUCGGGUCAAUACCCCGGAGCCCUGACGUUACCCACAGAAGAAGCACCGGCUAACUCCGUGCC
rnacentral:rRNA from 1 species